UACAGAGGGUGCAAGCGUUAAUCGGAAUUACUGGGCGUAAAGCGUGCGUAGACGGUUGCGUAAGUCAGCUGUGAAAACUCGAGGCUCAACCUCGAGAGGUCGGUUGAAACCGUAAGGCUAGAGUCCGGAAGAGGAGAGUGGAAUUCCCGGUGUAGCGGUGAAAUGCGCAGAUAUCGGGAAGAACACCCGUGGCGAAGGCGGCUCUCUGGGACGGUACUGACGCUGAGACGCGAAAGCGUGGGGAGCGAACAGG
rnacentral:rRNA from 1 species